rnacentral:lncRNA from 1 species
UAUCCCCUAGCAUGAUUAGUAGCUUCUGUGAAAUCAUUAAAACCUUUAAAGAGAGGAGCUUUAAAACCUUGUAUAGAAUCUAGUACCUCUAACCAGGUUUGAAAAAUGCCAUUAGUUUUUCCAUGAAUUACUACAUAGUAUUUAAAACGAGGCCUACUUUUUUCGGCCAUGUAAUGACAUAAAGCAUUCAUAGAUGCCAUGAAAUGGUUUCUAUUUUGUCUGUUAUAAGAAAUCCAGAGGUUAUCGAUUAAACACCUUUGGGGUCUGUCUAAAACGUAGUCUGGUCUUAUUCUGAAUGAUAUAUUGCUCUCAGGGUAUGCUAUUAAAUUAAAUGGGCCGAAAUGAAUUCG